AAACCUGCGAAACUCGAAUGAACGAACGGAGAGAUUCAUCGUCAUUCCUCGGCGUACGGACGCGCGCCUCGAUGUCGCCGGUUUCGAUCGGUAGGCACGGGUCGCGUCCGUCGACGUCCGCGGACGGCGUGCACUUCUCUCUUAGUAAAUACAUCGCGACCCGUUCGAUGUCGGUCUAAGCGCCGUACGGGAGCCCCGUUGCCCCUUCACGGGGGUGAUGGGACCGCGACGGUGGCCGACCGGCCGUCGGACGGUAGUUCUGACGAAUCGCGCACGCGUUUAUGACGCGUCCGGCCCGACGCAAGUCAACGUCGUAUCCAACGUCUACGCCUCAGUGCGGACGUAGGUGCGGCGCGUCUGCUGUCGCCGCCGUGCUGUCUCGGACUGUGCGCGUCUCUGUCUGCGAUGAUUCAGUUUCGGGCACUCGCAGGAC
rnacentral:rRNA from 1 species